rnacentral:lncRNA from 1 species
GCAGGAACCAUCAAGUAAUGGUUUAGUUGGUAUUUGAGGAGACAAAUGGAAAAUACACUUCCAAUUUCACCUUUUUAUCACACUGUCUACAAACCAGGCAGUAAAAGUAAAUAAAAAUGAAACUACAUAAAUCGACACAAAACUAACAGAAUGAUGUUAACCUAGCAGUUAAAAUCAUUUUCAACACAAUAAAAAAAACACACUUUCCUUCACAUACUAGGCACAAUAUAAUCUAAAGCAGGACACCGGCUCUCUGUACCUUUCUUUGUGCAGGAAACUUUCCUUCCAAAUCAUACUUGGUUAUCAUUUACAGCAACAGGCAAUGGAUGUGGCUUGGUCGGAGAUAUUUAUUUAGCUUUCGCUGUUACAGAAAAGAAAAAAAACCAAUGAGCACAAACCUGAAAGACUUGGCAAUAACAAUAAUCAAACAAACAAAAGACUGAGCAACAGGCAAUGGACUACCGAAAAAAAUAUUGCUUGUGUCUUGAUUUAUGCACUUACCAAGAUUUAUGGUCAUUCCAAAAUCGUUCCACUUUAGCCUCCACUUAUUUUCCUAAAGAUACUUGAUCUCAGAUCACUGGUGGAAACUCGUUUCUUCCUUUUGCAGUCCUCUGAUUUGAUUUCAAUGGCAUCCCAGAACACUGACAAUGAACUAGAAUCAAUCAAUCAAGCAAUGCUUAAUUUGGCAAUUCAAUCUACUAUCUUCUCUCCAAACAUGGAAAUAGACAAAGAACAAACAAGAGUUUAUUUUUAUAGUUUCAAAAGAUUGAAUCCCAAUUUACUCCAUUCCACCAUGAUUUUUUUUGAAAUUAACACUUUUAAAGCGGAAACAUUUGAUUUUGAAAUUUCAUAAAAGUAGAAAAAGGGGUAAGAUUGAAAAUUGUUAGCAAAAAAGGUAAUUGAAUAGGUCAAAUGAGAGUAUGUAUGUAUGUAUGUGUAUCAGUGUAUUGUAUGAAUGUAUGAUUACCACUUACACUGGAACAGCAACAAUGUCGAGACAAGCAUCUCGUAUUGAAUUGGAAGAUUUGGCCAUCGAUUUCAAUUAAUCCUUUCGCCAGCCCGCCCGCCCACCCUUUGAAGGAAAUGAACUCAAGUACUCAACUGGUUUUCGUCGUCUCGGUCCUUCUACUGUAUGUCUGUGUUUGUUGUAACGUAGAGUAUUGG